rnacentral:lncRNA from 1 species
AACAACAGCCGCCACACUAAUAAGCUAUCUCAAAUCUCUAUCAUACUAAAUGUUUCAUCUUCAUUUUAUGCUUGUUCUUCUUCCUUCUUGAUGCAUCCCUCCAAUUCUCCUAUUCUUCUCUUUCUCUGUUUUACUAUGAAGGAUAGUUGCACCUUUUUUUUUCUUUCCUUCUAUUUUACUGGAUUCGACUGAUUCCCAAGCUAGAUCUAUUUUAUUCUGAAAUCACAAAUCACGGUUCCACCUGCAAAACCUGAUGAACCGGCGGUUUUUUCGGUUUUUUGCCGGUUUUCCGAUUUGUUUUCCGGUUUUGAGACCAUCCGGUUUUUAUGUCUCUCCGGACCGGAUGCAGGUCCGGUUCCCGGUUUACCCGGUUCGACCGGCCGGUCCGGUUUUAAUUACAUUGGUUAUAUGUAUAUAUGAUGUUUUAAGAUGUUGAUUACCAUUUGAUGUUGUUAUAUUGUGAUAUAAUUAUAUAUGCAUUACUUGAAUUAAAUGUGAAUAAUUGAGACGUUGUUGACUUGCAUUUGAUAUUAUUUUGUCAUGCUGUUUUUGUAUUCUGCUGUGUUGCUGUUGUUAUUUAACUAAGCUGCAUAAGUCGGUCUAAGUUGAUUAAGAUGUUGAUGAUGAUGUACCAAAUUAUUGGACUAUUUAAGAGGUCGUUGAAUUAAGAUGUUUAAGAGGUCGAGUACAUGCAUUAGCAUUCAGCGAUUGGGGCUUGAUGCUCCGGAAAUAUAAUAAUACUCAAAUAGCGAUUGAGGCUUGAUGCUCCGGAAGUAUAAUAAUACUCAAAUAGCGAUUGGGGCUUGAUGCUCCGAAAGUAUAAUAAUAUUCAAAUAGCGAUUGGGACUUGAUGCCCUGUAUUGGUACCACAUGCAUAUAAGAGGUCUAAGUUGAAUAAUCGAGUUGAAGUUGCAUUGUCGAGUCAAAGUCGUUGUUGAUGAAUUAUCAUCCAUGAGUUGUUAAGUUGUUGAUGUAUUAUCAUCCAUGAGUUGUUAAGUUGUUGUUGAGUUGUCUUCUAUCCAUGUGUUGUUAAUGAAGU